UGGUAGUNCACGCCGUAAACGAUGAGUGCUAGGUGUUAGGUCCUUUCCGGGACUUAGUGCCGCAGCUAACGCAUUAAGCACUCCGCCUGGGGAGUACGACCGCAAGGUUGAAACUCAAAGGAAUUGACGGGGGCCCGCACAAGCGGUGGAGCAUGUGGUUUAAUUCGAAGCAACGCGAAGAACCUUACCAGGUCUUGACAUCCCGAUGCCCGCUCUAGAGAUAGAGCUUUACUUCGGUACAUCGGUGACAGGUGGUGCAUGGUUGUCGUCAGCUCGUGUCGUGAGAUGUUGGGUUAAGUCCCGCAACGAGCGCAACCCUUAUUGUUAGUUGCCAUCAUUCAGUUGGGCACUCUAGCGAGACUGCCGGUAAUAAACCGGAGGAAGGUGGGGAUGACGUCAAAUCAUCAUGCCCCUUAUGACCUGGGCUACACACGUGCUACAAUGGCUGGUACAACGAGUCGCAAGCCGGUGACGGCAAGCUAAUCUCUGAAAGCCAGUCUCAGUUCGGAUUGUAGGCUGCAACUCGCCUACAUGAAGUCGGAAUCGCUAGUAAUCGCGGAUCAGCACGCCGCGGUGAAUACGUUCCCGGGCCUUGUACACACCGCCCGUCACACCACGAGAGUUUGUAACACCCGAAGUCGGUGAGGUAACCGU
rnacentral:rRNA from 1 species